GGAACCAGGACCCUGCAUGAAGGGCAUGGGGUAACCCCAUGACAUCCUCCCUUCGGGAUCUGGAUGUCUCAGACUCAAAGACUGGACCUUCCGGGGGUAAUGAUCCACUGCCAGCUCCAGCAGCAGCAGGAGGGAGAGGAGCCAUGGUAGGAGGAGCAGCUGGAGGAAGGGAAGCUUGGAAGAGGAGAGGAUGUGUGCGUAGGAGGGGAAGAGGAGCAGCUGGAAGAGGACGAGCAGCAGGAGCAGGGUCUUGAUUUACCCUCAAUGAGUGAGAAAGACAGAGAUAGCAUCAGUAAAACAUUUCCUAUUAAACUGUGAGCAUUCAUAUUUCAUGGGUGGCUGUUGCUUGCCAUGGCCUUCUGCUAUUUGAUGGCUUUCAUUAAAAAUCACAACACAAUGCUUCUGUCAGGAUUGCAAUCAUCACGUAAACAUACCGACACCCAUGCACCUCCAUAACUAAUUGUAUUGUAGGAUCCCGCAACUCUCCAGACUUGUCUCGCUAUACACCAUGGAAGAAGAUGGAGAAAGGGCCUCAGGUGCUGAGCCUCCGUCUCAACAAAAACAUAAUCAUUGUCAUCAACAAAUCAUAAAACUGUCUGUAUUACAUAUUUUAAUAAAACCAAUAUGUUUAUUAAAUUUGCUUUCAUGAAAAUCAUGACAAAAAUAAUAGUUUUUUUUAAGAUAUGUUAUCAUGCCUACCUGUUGCUCAUUUAAAAGCUGCAUUCUCUCCGAGACUGUACAACCUCCUCUCACAGUAUCCAAGUUGGAAAGCUGCAUUUAAUUGAAAACGUAUUUCUUCCCAUGCUUUAAGUUUUGUUUUGGAUGUAACACCAGAGGCAGAUAUUUAUUUUAGUGUUUUAUUUCAAACACUGGAUAGGAGCAGCAGCAGGUCUUGUGUCCAGCUGGGGUUUCAUAUGUGUUUGGGACUAUCCAUAAUAAACCCACCUUGAUUGCCAUGAAGCCACUUGAAUCCAUUUUGUUCAUUAUUUUAUAUGAUGCCAGACAUUUUGUCUAAUAUGCUGCCAAUUAGAUUGGACUCUAUGACAUUGUUUUUAUUUUCUUGAGUGAACUGAAUUGAUAUAUUUGUUGUUUGACCAACAGUUGAUAUG